AUGAACGCUAGCGGGAGGCCUAACACAUGCAAGCCGAGCGGUAUAAUUCUUUCGGGAAUUAGAGAGCGGCGCACGGGUGCGGAACACGUGUGCAACCUGCCUUUAUCUGGGGGAUAGCCUUCCGAAAGGGAGAUUAAUACCCCAUAAUAUAUUGACUGGCAUCAGUUAAUAUUGAAAACUCCGGUGGAUAGAGAUGGGCACGCGCAAGAUUAGAUAGUUGGUGAGGUAACGGCUCACCAAGUCAGUGAUCUUUAGGGGGCCUGAGAGGGUGAUCCCCCACACUGGUACCGAGACACGGACCAGACUCCUACGGGAGGCAGCAGUGAGGAAUAUUGGACAAUGGGUGAGAGCCUGAUCCAGCCAUCCCGCGUGAAGGACGACGGCCCUAUGGGUUGUAAACUUCUUUUGUACAGGGAUAAACCUAGAUACGUGUAUCUAGCUGAAGGUACUGUACGAAUAAGCACCGGCUAACUCCGUGCCAGCAGCCGCAGUAAUAC
rnacentral:rRNA from 1 species